GAUCAACUAAUGUUAUUUUAGUAACUUGCAAUAAUCAUUCUGAUUCCCAGACAAAGUAAGCAUAUAAAUGUUAAUACAACUCAUUUCGAUUUUGAUUCCUACAAGUAAAGUAAACAAUUUAUUCUGAUUCUCAUUCUCCAUUCGGAUUCUAUCAUACUCUCAUUUCAAUCCAUUCCGAUUACCGAUUAGUAAAUGCACCAUAAUAAUAUUAAAAUACUUUAUAUU
rnacentral:lncRNA from 1 species